ensembl:snRNA U5 U5 spliceosomal RNA
ACACUCAUGUUUCUCUUCAGAUCGUAUAAAUCUUUCGCCUUUUACUAAAGAUUUCCGUGGAGAGGAACAAUAUGAGUUAUAACUAAUUUUUUGAUGCCCUGCUUAUCGCGGGGCU